GCGACAAAAUAAAUUUCCAGUUCUCGUGAAAAAAACGGCACGUUGAUUGGCUACCGCGUCGCUUUUUUUCUCACUUAUCGCACCAGUUCAGUUAUAAAGAACGUAUCGUUCAGCAGAAUAUCCAACAUGUUGCGACUCAUCCGUUGCAUUCCACUUACUGAACACAGCGAAUGAUGAGAAAAACGAUGACGUCAUUUUUCUUAUUCUUAUUUUUCAUAUACCGGUUUAUGGAAACAGUUGACAGUUUUAUUAUAACUCAGUCAUAAAUAAUAGGUUUGAAAAUAAAUUUAAGAUCGUUAAUAAUGACUCGAAUUAUGAUAGGUCAGAAUUCAUGAGGAAUACGUACUGUUUAUUUAAAAAUUGAGGAAAUUUUGAGAAGACGAUUGUAACACCAUAUAACCCGAUGAGUUCUUUUUCAGUGCCUCCGAUAUAUAAUUAUUAUUAAUAAGGAACUGUCGCGCGUCUGUGAUAAAGUUAUAAUCAUGUCAAAAAAAAGAAAAAGGAAUUAUGCUUGGAAAGAAACUGGCUUUGAGGAAUGGGGUGGUUAUAUGGCUGCUAAAAAAGUUAAAUUAGAGGAGCAAUUUCUUGGUACGGUCAACAAAGAGUUCAAAGAAUCGUCGAAAUUAUUUGAAGGAAUUGCAAUAUUUGUGAAUGGUUAUACGGAUCCAACAUCUGAUGAGCUCAGACGUUUGAUGAUGAUGCAUGGUGGAUUAUUUCACCAUUACAUACAUCCUAAGUUCACAACUCAUAUUAUAGCGUCCAAUCUACCAUAUUCAAAAAUAAUGUCAUAUAGAAAAAGCCAGAAUCCAAUCCCUAUAUGCAAACCACAAUGGAUCACUGAUAGUAUAGCAGUUGGGAAAGUCUUGAACUUUCAGAAUUAUUUACUUUACUCUAACACUGAUGCACUUCAGUUGGCAUAUAAAUUAAAUGUCAAGAACGUCAACAUUGAGUCAGCUGUGCGUGACAGAAUGAACAUUGAAACAAAUACUAUUGACAAUGAAAGCGGUGCAGCCAAUAUACCGAAUGAAGGUACAAGUAAACAGAACAAGGUGAUUCUUCAAUCUUCAAGCACAAAAACUACAAGGUCUACAAAGGACGCAGGAUUCCUGUCGGCGUUUUACAGUAACUCGAGAUUGCAUUACAUCGCCACCAUGGGGACUACUUUCAAAGAUUAUGUCAAUGAGCUGAGAGAUAAAAACGAUGGUACAUUCCUCGGGCUUGAGUGUUUGACAAAAUCGAAGAAAGCGACUUUAGCUGAAUCCGAAGAUGAUACAAUUGGCAAAGAAGCAGGCAACAAGCAGAGAGUUAUAAUGCACAUCGAUAUGGACUGCUUCUUUGUCUCUGUGGGUAUCAGAAACAAGCCGAAAUUACAAAGCCUGCCGGUAGCGGUGACGCACGGCAAUGUGAUGAAUCACAAUGGCAAAGAGGAGCAUGGAUCGAUGUCGGAAAUAGCUUCGUGCUCAUACGCGGCGAGGAAGGUAGGCGUGAGGAACGGUAUGUUCCUGGGAGAGGCGCUGAAAAUGUGUCCAAACCUAAAGACCAUUCAGUACGACUUUGAAAGAUACAAGGAAGUCUCUUAUGUGUUAUACGACACCGUGGCAUCCUACACGCUGAAUAUCGAGGCGGUGAGCUGCGACGAGAUGUACGUGGACUGCACGAAGGUACUCGAAGCAUCUGAGCUCUCACCGUUGGAAUUUGCGAGCGUGAUCAGAGAAGAGAUCAAGCGGAAAACAGGUUGCCCGGUUUCCACUGGCUUCGGUAACAACAAGCUGCAGGCGAGGUUGGCCACGCAAAAAGCUAAACCCGAUAAUCAGUUCUAUCUAGGCGGUCCAAACGCGGAAUCGUAUGUCCGGACCCUCAACGUAAGAGAUCUACCUGGCGUCGGCGGAACGAUGACGCACAAGUUGCGCGAGAUGAACGUGCGUACAUGCGAAGAAUUGCAGAGGAUCUCGUUGGGAGUCCUGCAGAAGGAGUUUGGCAGGAAAAUGGGCGGGCAGUUGUACAAGAUGUGUCGCGGUCUGGGCGACACGAAGUUGAAUCUGGAACACGUGAGGAAAUCGGUAUCGGCCGAGGUGAAUUACGGUAUAAGAUUCCGAGACAAUGAGGACGCUGUCGACUUCUUAAGCAAGUUGUCGACGGAGGUGUGCGGCCGAUUGACAGCGGCUCGUGCGAAGGGCAGAUGCAUCACGUUAAAACUCAUGAUCAGGGCGGAGGAAGCGCCGCAAGAAACCACCAAGUUCAUGGGCCAUGGCUUUUGCAAUUGUAUCACCAAGUCCAAGAAUCUUAUAGCUCCCGUUGACGACGUCGGCAUCGUCAGAAAGAAAGUGAUUAGCAUUUGGAAUCAACUGCAUCUAACGCCUGAAGACAUGCGAGGAAUCGGAAUACAGAUAUCCAGACUGGAGAUAUGCAAGACCAAGCAAGGGAGUCUGAAAAAUUUCUUCGAUAAGAAUAUAUCGGGAGAUAACGGUAAGAAGAGAAGUCAACGCGACUCGAACCUCAGCGAGAUAUCCAAAGCGAAUAGCCCGUCGUCGACCGCAGAAUCGUCUGAUCCGUCGGCACGAACUUUCGAGCAGACAGCGGCUUUAUUUCAAGCACCGACGAUCGAGGCGAAAAAGAAAGCGAGUGAAAAUAGCACGACUGGAAGGAAAAAUCUGAAAUCGGGCAAGAAAACUGUGGGGAAACAAACGUCUCAGGAGAAUUUCUUCAAGCACACGAAGCCAAGCGGCGGAAAAUCAUCCAAGUACGAGAUGCCGCCGCGAAUCCAAGACCUCGAUAUGUCCGUGUUGAUCGAAUUGCCUCGAGAUAUACGAAAUGAAAUACUCGACGAGUACAAAAAGAACAAGGAACGAAACGCUGAGAAAAACACGACGGAUGAGAACGCAUCGCAAGUGGACCCGAAUGUUCUGUCGGCGUUAAUGGCCAGUGACUUGCACCCCGACGUACGGCGCGACGUGCGGAUAUAUUGCAACAUGAAAAGAGAAGCGAACAACUUCGACCGAGGGAAUGCGAGACACAUUGUAGACGAUAUGAAUGAAAAAGAAACUGGGAUCUCGCGAAUGUGGGAUGCGACGCCACACGGCAGUACCGACGAAGCGGCGAUACGUACUGAAACGAGUCGUCGGAUUGAGAUUCCACGCAAUAACGCUCUAGUGGAUAAAGCCGAUACCUUUAUUUUACAGAAUUUAAGUAUUUUACAUAACAGUGAGAACGUAGACAAACAUCAGGAAAUGCUGAUCAAUCUUGUGAACCAUCUCUUUGAUCUCCCGUUACAACAGGUAAAGAUACAGAUACAAACGUGGGUCACCAAGUCUAAUGCCGUGAAUGAAGUGGACUUUCUGUCACUUGCAACGUUUCUUAGCAUGCUUCCGCAGAAGAAACGUAUCGCGGACUUGCAUAUCUUGUUGAAAACCAUGCACAGAUGUACAACGAAAACUGGGAACUGCAUUUGGCAUAGGACAUACAGAAGAACGGUGAGACACGUUCAACGUUAUAUGCAGAUCGAGUACAACAGUAAUCUAAUGGUACCGUCAAUCGGAUGUAACGAUUCAAAAUGUAAUAACGGCGAUUGAAUACAAAAUUUCAAAUUUUAAUAAAUUAACACACUUUUUCUUCGUUUCUUCCUUUUUUACAAUGUUCGCGCAGGGAUGGUGAAAAAAUAGAAAGGAGCGAGAUAAGCGUUCAUUACUCCCAUUCGGUGGUCCCCGGAGGUUUAGACGUCAAGUCGU